CACUCGCCAUCCAAAGGCGUGGCGGCGCGAGCCAUGAAUCGUAUGGGUGUGCUGGGCUGCGCAAGGUUGCGGUGGGCGCUGCUGGGGACGCGGGUGGCUCUCCCUGGCCUCGGCUCCCACGGGGCCAGAGCCAAAGCCGCGACCCCCAGCGCCCUCCCUGCGGCCCAGGCAGCCAAGGCUCCCGGAACCGGGCCUGGCGAUCGGAGGCUGCGGAGCCUGGAGGAGCUUUCAGGGCCAGGGCAGCUGCGUCUCUUAUUCCAGCUGUUCGUGCAAGGCUACGUUCUGCGCUUGCACCAGCUCCAGGCAUUUAUUGCUGUGAACUUCCUUCUUGGAACUACUUUUGCUGCUUCCCAUAAGUUUUGGCUUUUGCCAUUCUUUGCAUCCUUUCCCUGAAGCCUCCAUUCCCAACCUCCACUGGACAUCAGCAUCAAAGGCCAGAUGAUCCGUGACCUUCUGAACCUGGCGGGCUUUGUUCUGCCCAGCGCAGAGGAUAUCCCUUCCAGCUCCAGCAGCUCCAGCAGCUCCACCACCAGGUCAGCCUCCUUGCUUGUCUGCAGCUCAGCUGGCAGCAUGAGCAGCCCCAUAGAGACUCUGGGAAGGGGUGGUGUCUGGGUGUUCCCUCCUGCUUGAUCUUCCUUACUGCUUGAUCUGCCCUGACAAUCUAUCCAUGCACACUGCCAUGUCAGUGCCCCUAAAAGCAUGUUUGAUUAAUUGCUCCCCUGCUCAGGAAUCCCUGCAGGUCCUGGGGAAUCAGCUUUAAAUUCCUCAAGCAGAUGUUCGAGGCCCCAGCCUCCUUUUCCCAGGCACCCCUCACUUUAAGUUUUGCUAUGUUGUGUUUUCCAUUUUCAUUCAUCUUUAGUAUUUUUUUAAAUUUCUCUUUUGAUUUCUUCUUUGACCUAGUGGUUGUUCAGUAGCAUGUUGUUUAAUAUCUGUGAAUUUUCCAGAUUUCUUCUUGCAGUUGAUUUCUCUUUUUAAAAAUUAAUUAAUUAACUAAUUAAAUUAUUUCUGGCUGCAUUGGGUCUUUAUUGCUGCACAUGGGCUUUCUCUGAUUGCAGCAAGUGGGGGCUACUCUUCAUUGCAGUGCGCAGGCUUCUCUUCAUUGCAGUGCGCGGGCUUCUCAUUACGGUGGCUUCUCUUGUUGCAGAGCACGGGCUCUAGGCGCAUGGGCUUCAGUAGUUGUGGCACGCGGGCUCAGUAGUUGUGGUUCGUGGGCUCUAGAGCACAGGCUCAGUAGUUGUGGCGCACGGGCUUAGUUGCUCCAUGGCGUGUUGGAUCUUCCCGGACCAGGGCUCAAACCUGUGUCCCCUGCAUUGGCAGGUGGAUUCUUACCUACUGCACCACCAGGGAAGUCUUUGCAGUUGAUUUCUAGUUUUGUACAAUUGUGUGGGAAAAGAUGCCUGAUUGGAUUUCAGUCUUCUUAAAUUUAUUAAGUUUUGUUUUGUGGCCUAACAUUUGAUGUAUCCUGGAGAAUGUUCCAUGUGUGCUUGAAAAGAAUGUAUUCUGUUGCUUUUGGGUAGAAUAUUCUGUAUAUGUCUGUUAAGUUCUUCUGGUUUAAUGUGUCAUUUAAGGCCAAUGUUUCUGUAUUGAUUUUCUGUGUGGAUGGUGAAGUGGGGUAUUAAAGUCUCCUACUAUUAUUAUAUUGUUAUCUAUUUCUCCCUUUAAGUCUGUCACAUAUUUAAGGGCACAUGUUUCUUACCAUUACCUGUUUAUAUAGCUUAGAGAUUGGGCUGUGAACCUCUGAGGGCCUAUGUCUUUCCCAGCUCUGUGUCCCCUAGCACCAGGCACAGUUCUGGGUACAGGGGAGGUUCUUGAUAAUGUUUGAUGAAUGAAUACAUUUCACGUACCAGUCAAAGGGCUAUGGGUGGUACUGAGCAGUAGCUACAUCUAGUGGUAAACUUCUUUGUGAGAUUCUUCUCAGCUCCCUGAUCUGAGUUGUUUGACAUAAGAUAGAGUGAAAAAGAGACAGUGAGGGAGGUGGGCAGAUUGAUCAAGCUGGCCCAAGCUGGCCCAUCAGGUCUUAGCUUUCUAGGUUCAGAAACUAAAUUUUGUCAGUUCAUUCAGCACGGGUAGACUAUUGGGGACUGACCCAUAUUGGCCAAACACACAGAAACAAAUUGUGGAUUGGAGUAUUUAUUUACAAAAGUUAGCCCUCCCAGGGAUCUUAUACCCCAUCACAUAGAAGCUCCCUAUUCUAGUUAUUCCUACCUAACAAACUAUACCAAAACAUAGUGGCUUAAAACAACAUUUUGUUAUAUUCAUGAUUUUGUGAGUCAGGAAUUUGGGCAGUGCACAUCAAAAAUGGCUUAUCUCUGCUUCACAGUGGAGUGGGGCUUUAGUUUGAAUGGCUGAAGAUGGGUGGGAUGGCUCAAGUGGGGCCAUAUGUUUAGGCCUCGGGUCUGGUUUUUGGCUGGCUUCCUUAGCUUUUCUCCAUGUCAUAUCUGCGGGGGCUGGAAUUUCCAAGAUGGCUUCUUCAAUUGCAUGUUGGAUGCCUGGGCUGGUUUGGCCAGAAUGGCUAUUUCUUUCACCACAUGGCUAACCUGGGCUUCCUCACAGCAUGGGGGUCUCUGCAUAGUCAGACUUCUUACAGGUGCUGGUUUCCCCCAGAGUGAAUAUUCCAAGAGAUAGAAAGUGGAAGUUGCCAGUUUCUUAAAUCCUGGUUCUGGAAACUGGCAUAGCAUCAUUCCUGCUGUAUUCUACACAUCAAAGCAGUUACAAGGCCCACCCAGAUUCUAGAGAAGAAGAUGUAGACCUGACCUAUUGAUGGGAGAGAUGUCAAAAAAUAUGUGGCCUUCUUUAAUACACCUAACCUCUUCCUAGAAUCCAUGUACCUAGGGAGAGAAAUUAAUAACUACAUUAGUGGACUGCUUGGUGUGCAGGGACCCCAGAACUAAAGCAGUAGAAUUGUAUGGAAAAAAAUUUCAUCUAGACCUUGGAGAAACCUGGUUGAAUGUGCUUCUCUGGUGCCUGUCCAUUAGAUUAAGUAUCUCUCUCUCUUCAGAGAUAAAUAAUGCCUAUUUUUGCUCUUUGGCUCCUUCUUCUGGGUUUUGUAAUGGCCACUCCCAUCCUGUUAACACAUUCUUUCAUCAGUUUGGCUAAUACCAUUGAUUAGAUGGAUUUUCUUUCUCAGUACUCAUGUUACCAUCAAGCCUUCCAGAGAUUAUCCUCCAGUUACCUUGACUUGGCUUGAGUGUUUUUCAGUCUCAUCUGGCAUAUGUUUACAGAUUGUCCUUGAGAGUCUGGUGGAAUAUAAUGUAGCGCUUUAAAGCCUCAGGGAUGGGAAAUUUGAAACUAGGUAUUAAGGUAUAAAGUGUGAGUCAUACCAACUUAGCAAAUGCACUGCCAGAAUUUUUAUCUUACAGAUAAAAUUUGUGGUCAAAGAAAUAUUACACACUUUUCAAGAUAGCAAUAUUUCUGAUUGGGAAACGUUAGAAUGACUUACAUAUCCCAGUAGGGAACUAAUUAAAUAAAUUACAGUACAUUCAUACAAUGGAAUUUUACACAGCCAUUAAAAAUAAAAGGGGCAGGGCUUCCCUGGUGGCGCAGUGGUUGAGAGUCUGCCUGCCGAUGCAGGGGACACGGGUUCGUGCCCCGGUCCGGGAAGAUCCCACAUGCCGCGGAGCGGCUGGGCCCGUGAGCCACGGCCGCUGAGCCUGCGCUGUCCGGAGCCUGUGCUCCGCAAUGGGAGAGACCACAACAGUGAGAGGCCCGCAUCCCGCAAAAAAAAAAUAAAUAAAAUAAAAUAAAAUAAAAUAAAAUAAAAGGGGCAGAUCUAUGCAUAUUAAUAUGAAUUGCUUGGAGAUGGGAAGAAAGUAAGGUGCAAAACUAUAUAAUAUGCCAUCAUUUGUGGAUAAAAAGUAUGAGGGGUAUAUUCAUAUAUAUAGAUAGAUAGAUAGAUAGAUAGAUAGAUAGAUAGAUUUGUAUGUGCAUAAAAUAUCCCUGGGAGGACACAUAAGAAAUUGGUAAUGAUGAUUGCCUCUCUGUAGAGGUCUUGGAGUCUGGAGAUGAGAGUUAGGAGGAAGACUUACUUUUUUAAAAAAAAAAUACAUUUAUGUAUUUUUGGCUGCUUUGGGUCUUCAUUGCUGCACGCAGGCUUUCUCUAGUUGUGGUGAGCGGGGUCUACUCUUCAUUGCGGUGAGCAGGCUUCUCAUUGCGGUGGCUUCUCUUGUUUCAGAGCACGGGCUCUAGCCAUGUGGGCUUCAGCAGUUGUGACACGCGGUCUCAGUAGUUGUGGCACAUGGGCUUAGUUGCUCUGCGGCAUGUGGGAUCUUCCUGGACCAGAGCUCGAACCCGUGUCCCCUGCAUUGGCAGGUGGAGUCUUAACCACUGCACCACCAGGGAAGUCCCAAAACUUACUUUAUAUUGCAAGACUUCUAUGGACCUCCACCAGAGUUUCCUCUGGCUUUAUCCUGCCCAGGCAUAGUUCACCAUCUUUUGGGUCUUUUUGUACCCUUUGCAUUUUAACAGUGUACGUAUAUAUUGCCUUUUACCAUUUUAAAAACAACAACAAAAGAAUGGAGAGCAAGAGAUAAAGCAUGGCUGACCUAGUGCUUCCUGGUCCAGCAUAAUAUUUUGAGAUCUUCUGAUGGCCUUUCCUCUUGUACCCCUGUUUGGCUCUGGGUCCUUACUUUUGAUGUCCACUUCUGAAUCUGCAUCCUCUUUUUAGCUCUGCGUCCAUUGCUGGUCAUCUCCUCCUUGUUCUUGAAUACCCUCAUUGUUCCAGUCCAGACCAUCCCAGCUUGCAGGCAAAGGUGCACAGCUUACUGAGGUUUGCCUCUGGGUGUGUGAGGGGUGCAGUUUGGGGGUGCUGCUUCUGUUUUCCUAACAGCCUCUCUGAGGGCGUCCCAGGCAAGGCCUUUUCUUGGAUUACCCUUAGAUCUGCCUCUACUCUCAGCCCAUUGUUUCUCUGGUACAAAAUCAGAGGAAAAUUCUUACUGUCCACCUAUCUGGUACAUAUCUUUGUAACUUUUUAUGACAGUGCUUCUGUCUUGCAUAAAAGCAGACAUUUUUAUAAAUAUUGAAGUAAUGGCUGCACACAUGCACAAAAAAUUUUUUUUUGCAGCUUUGUUUGUAAAAUCAAAAAUUCAGUAACAUGUUAAAUGCCCAUCAGCAGGAUAAAUAGAUUGUGACAUAUUCAUACAAUGGAACACUAUGCAAUAGUCAUAAUGAACGCACAAACUUUUUAUAUCUCAGUAUAGAACUUGGCAGGGGGAGGGAUGAAUUAGAAGCUUGGGAUUAACAGAUAUACACUACUAUAUAUAAAAUGGGUAAACAGCAAGGACCUACUGUAUAGCACAGGGAACUAUAUUCAAUAUCUUGUGAUAACCUAUAUGAGAAAAGAAUCUGAGUUAUUAUAUAUAACUGAAUCACUUUGCUGUACACCAAAAACUAACAGAACAGUGUAAAUCAACUAUACUUCAAUAAAAAAAUUAGAACUCAGAACCAAAGUUGAGUAUAGAAUGAUAUGUACUGUAGAAUACUAUUUUUAUAAAUUAACAACCACA